ensembl:lncRNA
CCUCUAUCCAAGCCCCGCUAUAAUGGUCUGUUUAACAAACACUUCUUAGGUUUGAGGGUCUAGUUUUGCGACCCACGAUGCAUUGGAAGCUGGAGAUGGAGGGGACACUCUUAGAUUCAGGAGAAGCGGGGAUAUGGUCCCCGUGUUGGAGGAGAGAUCUAAGAACCCAGCAAGUGAACCCAGGACAUCUCCUAACGACACCCCUGGCUUCCAAGAAGAGGGUAAUUCAUGUCCAGAGUCUUCUGCACACAAAGGCAUGGAAGCGUACACUUCAGUUUAGAGCACUUUCUGCCAGAAGGAUUUAAAAUAGAAAGGCUUUGCCUCUGACAUAAUUUAUGCCCCCCCCCCAAAUUUUAAAAAUCUGCCAUUAUUUUCACAAUGCAUGUAUACUUCUCCUAAUCUGUAUCUUUUUUUUCCUUUUUAUUUUUCCUUUUUCUCCCCAAAGCCCCCCAGUACAUAGUUGUAUAUUCUUCAUUGUGGGUCCUUCUAGUUGUGGCAUGUGGGACGUUGCCUCAGCAUGGUUUGAUGAGCAGCUCCAUGUCCGCGCCCAGGAUUCGAACUGAUGAAACACUCGGCCGCCUGCAGUGGAGCGCGUGAACUUAACCACUCGACCACCGGGCCAGCCCCUCCUAAUCUGUAUCUUAAGAAAUCCUUCUCACCUUCUGGGAGGAGAGAGAGAAGGACCCCUCGGGUGAGAAGCAAUGUGUCCGUAAUCCCUCACCCCUGAAAUGGCUGUUAAAAAGUAGAUGCAAGGUUUUAGGCUCUGUGUUGAUCUAAGAGGCAUCCACAACUGUGAGUGAGAAAGACUUUGAACCCUCUAGAUUGGGGAUCUGGUUCCACGGCACAUGUCCUGGAGGUCAACAGCGCUCAGACCGCUCUCUGAGUUGUUGACUUGGGGAGCGGCUCUGCAGACAAAGAGCAAAGGAUGGAAGAGCCUGUUCUGUUAGGAGUGGGGCCUUGGUUUCCAUGGUCUGCCUUGCUUAAUGUGAGUAAAUGAUGAAGCCGCUGGCUACAGCUCCCACAGCCGCUGAAGAGGUGAGGCCGCCAGGCAUCUGGCGACCCCGUGUCUGAAGUCUUAGAGUUGUGCCACUUGCCCCCAAAGAAACCCUCGUGAAUCUCGUGGCCUGGGAUAAUGAGGCCCCUGCCUUCUAAUUAGUUGUCCAAAAUGAUAAAGCGUUUGCCCACUGGGUACUCUGCCCUCUAGGUACACAUGGAAUUGUUCCUGGCGUUGCCCUACUCAGCUCAUUUUAAGAAGCCUUGAUCUGUGCAGUGUAAACGGGUGCCGGGCAUCAUUUACAGUAGCUAAACAUGGUGCACGUAUUUACUUCUACAACAGAGGCAUUAAGCCUUGAGUCAGGAACUUUGUGUUGAAACAUUGUUUCAGUGGGAACACUAGGUUCGGCCUCCUUCGUUUUAAUUUCGCACCUUUUGGGGAACCCAACCCUCCUCGAAAGUUACAUUAAACACACACGGUUCUAAACCUUUUCUGAGCUCUCGCUCACACCCCUGGCUGGGUGAUUAACUCAUUGUUAUGACUAUGUGGGGUUUUUUCACCACCAGGCGUGCUAUGGAAGUAAUUAUCUUACCUCUGUUUUCAUCUGCGGCUCCCAAGCCCAGCCGUGACAUGUUUAAUGGGAGAGAUCCAUCAUCUUUCGUGGAAACCCCUUGAGAAGCGACCCCGACUUGCUUGGGCUCCCAUCGCUGGGAUUUCAUGUUGCGGCAGCCUCUGGCAUGCACCCUGGUCCCUGUUCUCAGCUCCCACCUGGUCUUCCCUGUGGCCUUCUGCUGCCAAUUUCCAACCGGAGGGCUCCUCUCCUGAUGGACAUCAAGGGAAAUUGUUUCAAACUGUCCUGCGACACAGCCUCUCACAUGGCAAGUGUGUGUUUCCUGUCCUUGAGCAUGUGCAAAUAAUUGAGCCCCUUUUGCUGUGGAAUGAGGUGAGGGGAUGACAAAAAGAAAAGUAAAAUUAGAAAAAGAAGCUAAAUGCAAUGUGGUAUCCUGGAUCACAUCCUGGAACGGUAAAAGGACAUUAGCGAAAAACCAGAUGAAACGCAAACGAAGUCUGUCGUUCUGUUAAUAAUAUUGUACCAGUUGUAAUUUCUUGGUUUUGACAGGUGUCCCAUGGUUAUGGAAGAUGUUAGCACUGGAGGAGACCGGGUGAAG